UACGUAGGGUGCAAGCGUUGUCCGGAAUUAUUGGGCGUAAAGAGCUCGUAGGCGGUCUGUUGCGUCGGCUGUGAAAACCCGAGGCUCAACCUCGGGCCUGCAGUCGAUACGGGCAAACUAGAGUACUGCAGGGGAGACUGGAAUUCCUGGUGUAGCGGUGAAAUGCGCAGAUAUCAGGAGGAACACCGGUGGCGAAGGCGGGUCUCUGGGCAGUAACUGACGCUGAGGAGCGAAAGCAUGGGGAGCGAACAGG
rnacentral:rRNA from 1 species